rnacentral:rRNA from 1 species
UACGUAGGGGGCAAGCGUUGUCCGGAUUUAUUGGGCGUAAAGGGCACGCAGGCGGUCUCUUGCGUUUUGAGUGACAGGUUUCGGCUUAACCGAGACAGGCCUUGAAAUACGGGGAGACUUGAGGGCUUCAGAGGGACGCGGAAUUCCAGGUGGAGCGGUGAAAUGCGUAGAGAUCUGGAAGAACACCAAAGGCGAAGGCAGCGUCCUGGGAAGCAUCUGACGCUGAGGUGCGAAAGCCAGGGGAG